rnacentral:rRNA from 1 species
AGCCUGAUGCAGCGAUGCCGCGUGAGUGAAGAAGGCCCUUGGGUUGUAAAACUCUUUCGUCGGGGAAGAAAAUGACUGUACCCGAAUAAGAAGGUCCGGCUAACUUCGUGCCAGCAGCCGCGGUAAUACGAAGGGACCUAGCGUAGUUCGGAAAUACUGGGCUUAAAGAGUUCGUAGGUGGUUAAAAUAGUUGAUGGUGAAAUCCCAAGGCUCAACCUUGGAACUGCCAUCAAAACUUUUUAGCUAGAGUGUGAUAGAGGUAAGUGGAAUUUCUAGUGUAGAGGUGAAAUUCGUAGAUAUUAGAAAGAACACCAAAUGCGAAGGCAACUUACUGGGUCACUACUGACACUGAGGAGCGAAAGCAUGGGUAGCGAAGAGGAUUAGAUACCCUCGUAGUCCAUGCCGUAAACGAUGUGUGCUAGACGUUGGAAAUAUAUUUUUCAGUGUCGCAGCGAAAGCAUUAAGCACACCGCCUGGGGAGUACGACCGCAAGGUUAAAACUCAAAGGAAUUGACGG